GGAGGUAUAGCUCAGUGGUAGAGUGCUUGCUUAGAAUGCAUGCAUGAGGUCCUGGGCUCAACCCCCAGGACCUCUA
rnacentral:tRNA from 1 species